AUUGAACGCUGGCGGCAGGCCUAACACAUGCAAGUCGAGCGGAGCGGCGGACGGGUGAGUAAUGCCUAGGAAUCUGCCUGGUAGUGGGGGAUACCGUCCGGCAACGGGCGCUAAUACCGCAUACUAUCAGAUGAGCCUAGGUGGGAUUAGCUGGUUGGUGGGGUAAAGGCCUACCUAGGCGACGAUCCGUAACUGGUCUUAGAGGAUGAUCAGUCACACUGGAACUGAGACACGGUCCAGGCUCCUACGGGAGGCAGCGGUGGGGAAUAUUGCACAAUGGGCGAACGCCUGGUCCAGCCAUGCCGCGUGUGUGAAGAAGGUCUUCGGAUUGUAAAGCACUUUAAGUUGGGAGGCGUUAUCAAAAGAGUAAGCACCGGCUAACUUCGUGCCAGCAGCCGCGGUAAUAC
rnacentral:rRNA from 1 species